rnacentral:tRNA from 1 species
UCCCUGGUAGCUCAGCGGUAGAGCAAGCGACUGUUAAUCGCUUGGUCGCAAGUUCGAUCCUUGCCCAGGGAGCCA